AACAUCCAUCUCCCAGAGAGCAAAACAAUUGCCAUUCAGCGACUGAAAUGCGUGGAGAAACAAAUACAGAAGGAUAGGGAAUUUGGGAAGCGAUACUCUGAGAAAAUAACAAGCUACGUCGAGAAAGGACAGACUGAGAAGAAGCAACAGAGUUUUUCUAGGGCAGUUGGAAGUUUCCGAGAUUCAAAAAUCUGAAACCCUUUGGAUCAAACGGUGCCAGCAGGAGAGUUUUAAGCUUCCCCAAAACUCUAACAUAAGAUGUAUAACCAACGGAAAACCAUUGUCAAGUAAAAGUCGUCUGAAAAACCUCUCACCAAUCCUUGACGAAAGAGGAAUAUUGCUCCUGAGUGGACGGACAAAUCUAGCUCCUGAGAUGUCAAUUUCUGCCAAUCAACCCAUAAUACUCCCCACAAAGCACCAAUUCACGCGACUACUCCUCCAAAAUUAUCAUGAAAAUUUCGCUCAUCAAGGAGUGGAAGCCGUUUUAAACGAUGUAAGGCAACGCUUCUGGAUAAUUGAUGGAAGAAGUGCGGUGAAGUCGGCGUUCAAGAGAUGUCAGAAAUGCAGUAUCACCAAAUCAAAACCAAUUAUUCCAAGAAUGGGACAGCUUCCUGUAGCACGUUUGACACCAAAUAUCAGACCAUUCACGUUCACAGGAAUGGACUAUUUUGGACCGUUAUUGGUUUCCAUACAACGACGAAGAGAGAAGAGAUGGGGAGUGAUUUUUACCUGCCUCACUAUAAGAGCUGUCCACCUCGAGGUAGCGCAUUCACUCACCACAGAUUCAGCUAUUUUAGCUAUUCGGAGAAUGAUAUGAUGAUAUAUAUGAUGUGUAUCGAGAUGGCAUCGUAUGCAGACGUAUGUGAGAAGUGUUCUGAAAACUUUAUUGUUUCCACAAAGUUUACCAAGUGCUAUUUUUGUGAAAACAAAUACCACACAAAUUGUGCAUCUGUAAAAGACAAUUGGUUAAAAAUUUUAUCCGAAAAUCCCAACAUUUUUUGGAUAUGUGAUUCAUGCAAGGUUAAGCAAGCAUCCAGUAAGAAAACCAAUGGAAAUAAUGACAUUGUAUCAGCUGAAAAUGUAUUAUUACGUCAACUGAUCGAAGAGAAGGAGUCGAAAAAUUCAAUUCUACAAGAAAAUAUACACCUUCUUAAGGAAGAAAUUAUUAUAUUAGGUGAGAAAUCACGAAAUUCAUCGUAUAAUCCACAACAAAAAACCGCUCCGAUAACGAACGUAAACAUCGAGAAUGUUCCCCAUAUGCCAUCAUUCGCGCGUGCAGUGGAAAAAGGUAAACAAAGUACCAGUCAAAUGAAAACGUCAACAUCUGUAAUUCCGAAGAACUCGAUGCAAGCCACUCUUAUCAACAAACAGUCGUCUACAUUUCCAUCUGAUAAUCAAUUCGAAUACGUGAUAAGAGAAGCAGUUCAAAAAGGAAAUAAUCAAGAAAUUUCGAGAAGCCAAAAAAGUCAAAAUAACACCGAUUGGAUUAAGGUCAAACCUAGGAGGCAUCGUAAUUUCGUAGUUGGUCAAUGUAAUGAAGCAGGAACCAUUCAGACUGUCCCGAAAUUUGUCUCUCUACACGUCACCAGAUUGCAUCCAAAUACCAAAACUAGUGAUUUGGUGGACAUCUUGAAAAAUAAAUUUCCCGAUGUCAGUUGUGAAGUACAUGCAUCUAAGUACCCCGACAAGUAUGCAUCUAUGAAAAUAACAAUUCGACAAGAAAAUCUCAAAGAUGCCUGGAAGCGAGAAGUAUGGCCUUCAGGUGCAAUUGUAUCGAGGUUUUUUGCCAAAAAGAGGGUGCUAACUCAACAAAUAGACCCUCAAAAACAGGAAUUCACACACAAACAAUAAGUAUCAUACAUCAAAACGUUCAGUCUCUAGGAAACAGCAUCGACAAAUUGGAACAAUUACUCUUAGACAACCCAGAUUGUUCUAUUCUCUGCAUAACAGAACACUGGAAUUCAAAGGAACAAAUCUGCCAAUUGGGUUUGAAAAACUUCAAGUUAGCUGCCAGUAUGUGUCGGGAAAUAGGUAAACAUGGUGGAUCAGCAAUUUUUUUAAAAAAUAACAUAAAUGCUAAAGAAUGUGAAUUCAUAAGUAACCUAUCCACCUUUGGAGAAUUUGAAUGCAGUGCGAUACAGUGUGAAGUGAAUAAAUUAAAAAUGAUAAUUGUGUCAGUGUAUAGACCGCCAAAUGGAAGUAUCGAAGUAUUUUUUGAAAAACUUGAAUGUUUGUUGUUUGAAAAAAUUGAAUCCAAUAGCACCAUAUUUUUGGGAGGAGAUUUCAACAUAGAAAUGAAAGAAGAUAAUGUCACUAAAAACAGGUUAUUUACACUUCUGAAUUACUUUUCAAUUAAACCUCAGAUAAAUGAAUAUACAAGGAUUACUGCACACUCUAAGAGUUGUCUUGAUAACAUCUUCACGAAUGUAACUAAUAAUAUAACAUCUCAGGUUAUCGAAUACCAUAUUUCUGAUCAUAGCGCUCAAAAAGUAAGCUUUCAAUUACGCAAUGAUAUAAAAACAAAACAAGUUAAAAGAAGAUUUUUUAGUGAAACAAAUAAGACCCUUUUUCUCAGUAAAAUUGUAGAAGAGACAUGGUAUAAUGUUUACCUCAUUGAGAAGUCUGAUGUGAAUGAACAAUGGCAUGUGUUCAUUAAUCAAUUUCUCAAUAUAUUCAACGAAUGUUUUCCCCUAAAACCGAUUAAUAAAAAUAAGAAACACCAAUAUAAUAAUAAUAACACCCAACUUAAUGAAAUUAAAGCAAAACUAGACAUACUAUUUGUGAUUUCUAAUAAUGAUAUAAAAUAUAAAAGUCAAUAUAUUGCGUUAAAGAAAGAAUAUGACAAUUUGUUGAAAUUAGAAAGAAAUCUAGAAUAUGAACAAAGAAUUAAAAACUCAAACUGCAAAAUUAAAUCAAUGUGGGCUAUUUGUAGUGAACUGACAGGAAAAAAUGUUCAUCAGGUCAACUCAUUUAGUGAAAAUUCAAUACAGUUAGCAAAAAAUUUCAAUCAAUACCUCAUAAAAAUAGUAAAAGAUGUUCAAUUUGAUCAGGUUUCAGGAAAUUUUUCCCUCUUGAUACCAGACGCUAAUCAAUCAAUGUUUUUGAGACCUGUGAGUGUUGAUGAGCUCAUAGAAUUAGGAAGUCAGCUGAAAAACAAAUAUUGUAGUGGAUAUGACGGCAUUCCGACUAAUAUUGUUAAAUUUUCCAUUAAAGAGCUAGCAGAAGUGCUAUGUUAUAUAAUAAAUAAUUCUAUGAGAUUCUCAAUAUUCCCAGAUCAAUUGAAACUGGCGUCAAUCAAACCGAUUUUUAAAAAAGGAAACCCGGAUGACCUUGGUAAUUACAGGCCAAUAAGUUUAUUACCGGCAUUUUCCAGGAUUUUCGAGCUUGUUAUGUGUUCCAGACUGAUUACUUAUAUGAUUGAAAAUAAUCUUUUUUCUCGAUUCCAACACGGUUAUCUGAGGGGGCGAUCAACAAAUACGGCCAUUUACCAAUUCGUAAACACAAUUUUAGAUAAUUUAGAAAAUAAAAAUUUAGCCUUGGGCAUUUUUAUUGAUUUGAGAAAGGCUUUUGAUUGCGUUGAUCAUAAUAUUUUGCUUCAGAAACUACAAAAAUACGGAAUAAGAGGUAAAGCGUAUGAAUGGAUAAAAUCAUUCCUUUUCGGUAGGCGACAACAGGUUGUUAUAAAUAAUAUAAAAUCUAAAAUCACAGACGUCGACAUAGGAAUAGCACAAGGAAGUAUGAUAGGUCCUAUUCUUUUUAUUAUUUAUAUAAAUGACCUCCCAUUAUCAUUGAACAAUUAUUCUAUAACGAAUUAUGUCGAUGACACCAAUGUUUUAAUUAACGCAAAGAAUAUCAAUGAAAUGAAUGAUAGAGUAGAAGAGUGCUUUUUAAAAAUUAGUGAAUGGUUUUCCAUGAAUAAAUUAUCCAUAAAUGAGUCUAAGACAAAUGUUGUACUAUUUCGCACGAAACAGUCGCCAAUUAUUCCAAGCAACAUCACUCUUGGUAAUAAUGUAAUAAUGCCUGUAUCACAUACAAAGUUUUUGGGUGUCCAAAUUGAGGAAUUCUUGAACUGGGACAUUCAUGUAAAUAAAAUGUGUUUAAAAUUAGCUUCCAUUGGCUAUGGAAUUAGAAUUGUUACUCAUUACAUGAAUGAAGAAACACUUAAAAUCUUAUAUUAUGAAAAUUUCGAGUCGAUUUUGAGAUAUGGAAUCAUUUUCUGGGGAAGUAGUUCUGGAAUCCAGUCAGUUUUUGUUUCACAAAAAAGAGUAAUAAGAACCAUAUUCAAGAUGGGGUAUAGGGAUUCAUGUAGAGGUAAAUUUAAAGAUAAAAAUAUUUUGACAGUUUAUGGUUUAUACAUAUAUGAAUGUUUAGUUUUUGUUUUUAAAAAUAAGGAUGGAUUCAAUGUUGGGGGAACACAUAAUUAUAAUACAAGAACGAAAGAUUUAAUUUAUCCCCAACAUAGAUUAUCUAUUUUGGAAAAGGGACCUUAUUAUAUGGGCAUAAAAUUUUAUAAUAAGUUACCUGAUAACUUAAAGAACUGUUACAAUUUAGGAAAAUUCAAAAGGUUCAUAAAGAAUAUAUUAAUUGAAUUGGAACCAUAUUCUUUAUGCGAUUAUUUCAGAUGUGAGAAUUUAGUUUAGUUUAUUUAUGCAAUUGUGACGUCAUUUCAUUUUUUAUGUAUAUAUUAUAUGUAAAAUUUGGAAAUAAAGAUAAUUGUUAUUGUUA